AGUUAAACAAAUACUUUAAUAACAAAACAAAACAAAAAUAAAAAUAAAAAAAAUGAGAAAUUAAUAAAAAAUAUAUUACAGCUUUUUUGUCAAAACAAUAUACUAAAAUGCAGUCAACUUUAGCAUUUGAUAGUUCAUUGAUAACAUUCUGGCGUAUCAUAAACAAACAACUUGUUACGUCUCAUUUCAUUGGCCGAAAGAUUUAAAUACAACAACAAUGUAGUUAGUGUGCACGUGAAUUGACACAGGUGACCGACAAUGGAAUUUACUAUGUUACUAUACGGACGUAAAAACAAUGAUUUGUAUAGUUUACAAACCUUUGGUCAAAAGAAUUAAAUAAAUGUUUUGUUAACUUCAAAUAGUGGAGUCGAAAUAUUAUACUGAUAUUUUGUUUUAAGUAAUAUUCUAAGUUCUUUAUGCAUGCAGCAACUCAAUUAUCUUGUACCCGGCAUGAUGAGAAAUAUAAGGAUAAAAUAAAAUACAUGUGCCGCUUUAAUACGGAUGAAUAUAUGAACCCCUUUUAAUUUCUUUCAUACUGACGAUA
rnacentral:lncRNA from 1 species